UGUGUGUGUGGUGGUAGUGUGUGUGUGUAGUGUGUGUGGUGGUAGUGUGUGUGGUGGUAGUGUGUGGUGGUAGUGUGUGUGGUGGUAGUGUGUGUGGUGGUAGUGUGUGUGGUGGUAGUGUGUUGGUGGUAGUGUGUGUGGUGGUAGUGUGUGUGGUGGUAGUGUGUGGUGUUGUGUGUGGUGGUAGUGUGUGUGGUGGUAAUGUGUGUAGUUAGUGUGUGGUGGUAGUGUGUGGUGGUAGUGUGUGUGGUGGUAGUGUGUGGUGGUAGUGUGUGGUAGUGUGUGGUGGUAGUGUGUGGUGGUAGUGUGUGGUGGUAAUGUGUGGUGGUAGUGUGUGUGGUGGUAAUGUGUGGUAGUGUGUGUGGUGGUAGUGUGUAGUGGUAGUGUGUGUGGUGGUAGUGUGUGGUGGUAGUGUGUGUGGUGGUAGUGUGUGUG
ensembl:lncRNA